rnacentral:rRNA from 1 species
AUUGAACGCUGGCGGCAGGCCUAACACAUGCAAGUCGAACGGAAACAGGAAGAAGCUUGCUUCUUUGCUGACGAGUGGCGGACGGGUGAGUAAUGUCUGGGAAACUGCCUGAUGGAGGGGGAUAACUACUGGAAACGGUAGCUAAUACCGCAUAACGUCGCAAGACCAAAGAGGGGGACCUUCGGGCCUCUUGCCAUCGGAUGUGCCCAGAUGGGAUUAGCUAGUAGGUGGGGUAACGGCUCACCUAGGCGACGAUCCCUAGCUGGUCUGAGAGGAUGACCAGCCACACUGGAACUGAGACACGGUCCAGACUCCUACGGGAGGCAGCAGUGGGGAAUAUUGCACAAUGGGCGCAAGCCUGAUGCAGCCAUGCCGCGUGUAUGAAGAAGGCCUUCGGGUUGUAAAGUACUUUCAGCGGGGAGGAAGGGAGUAAAGUUAAUACCUUUGCUCAUUGACGUUACCCGCAGAAGAAGCACCGGCUAACUCCGUG